AAAGAUGGCUGUCAUGAACACAUCCGGGCAUGCUCGAUUUGGUAUUACACUGGGCAAAGGUUACUUUAAGGUCCCCUAAAAGAGUCAGAGUGGCUCUGGUGACCUUGGAUGAUCCCUCCUGAGUUUCUGGAUAAAGCCAAAUAAAAAGAAAGAACAACUUUGAAGGGGCGUUAAGAGCCAUUUAAAAGGACAGCAGCUUUCUCACUUUCAAGGAGAGAAGUUGGCCCCUCAGAACACCUGCUUUGCUUAGCAGCCAUCUGUCACAAGACGCAGCGCUGCACUCCUGAGCCUGAGCUCCCAUCUCCCUCUGCCCCCAGAUCCUGAUAACCACCAUCUGUUCUCAGGCUCUGAGGGUUCACCUAUCCUAGGCUUCAGGUUCAGUACUGUCCUGUGGUGUAUCCGUGCCACGUUCUGCUGAUGGGUCCGGCUGUCACUGGACAUGGUCCUCAAGUUGCUCUGCAUUGUGAAAAAUGCUGAAUCGUGAGACCAUGAACAUCGUUGGACAGAUCGGAUUCGGUCCUUGAGCUACGUUUCUUUGUGCACCUGCCCAGGAGCAGAAUUUGCCGGUCAUUCAUUAAUUCCAUGUUUAAUUUUCAGAGAAUGGCCAAGCUGCCUCCCAUAGCAGCCACACCACUUUGUAUUCCCACCAGCAAUGAACAAGGGCCCCAGUUUCUCCACAGCCUCACCAACACGGGUUAGUUCCUAGUUUUAAAAAAAUGGCCAUACCAAUGGG